GUGAUGUGUAAAAGGAGAGAAGGUUAUAGCACUCCUGUUGAUUGACAAGGAUGAAAGAGGCCCUUGGUCCUGACAACAUAUAUGGGUAAGGCAUUGCUACCUACUUUGUGGCAUCUAACCAUCAUUUUUA
ensembl:snRNA